AGAAUCUUCCGCAAUGGGCGAAAGCCUGACGGAGCGACGCCGCGUGGAGGACGAAGGCCCUCGGGUUGUAAACUCCUGUCACGGGUUAUGAAUGUGUAUGCGUUAAUAGCGCAUGCAUUGACGUAAGCCCGAGAGGAAGCACCGGCUAACUCCGUGCCAGCAGCCGCGGUAAUACGGAGGGUGCGAACGUUGUUCGGAAUCACUGGGCAUAAAGAGCUCGUAGGCGGCUGUGCAAGUGUGAAGUGAAAUCCCACGGCUCACCCGUGGAACUGCUUUGCAGACUGCACGGCUAGAGGAUGGUAGGGGAGAGCGGAACUCCUGGUGGAGCGGUGAAAUGCGUAGAUAUCAGGAGGAACACCGGUGGCGAAGGCGGCUCUCUGGUCCAUUUCUGACGCUGAGGAGCGAAAGCCAGGGUAGCGAAC
rnacentral:rRNA from 1 species